rnacentral:lncRNA from 1 species
ACGUGUAGAGAUUUUCUAUAUAAGUGAACCUCCAGCCAUAGACACUAGGAGGAGAAAACAAAUUCACAAGGGGAGCAGAGAAACAAACAAAAAUUAAGAGAAACACAAAAAAACCCUAACCAUAUCCUCUCUAACAAAGAAGCCGUAGCCCCCUGCUCAUCUUUUAAAAUAAAAAAACAAAGCAACCCCUCCCUUUGAAGAAAC